CGGCAGCUGAAUGAAAUUCAAAAUGGCCGUUGUAAAAAGGAGUAAUUGAUUUCCUUUGGCUACAAAAUAUUUUUAGUGAAUGUUUAAUAUUGUUUAUAAAUGCAGAUAUAUAGUAACAAAUAAAGGAAUUUGGUCAAAAUGCCCCAGUCAAUAGCGCAGAGCGGAGAUGAGGAUGUAUUUCGUACACUAAAACGCAAACGAAAAUCUGAAGGAUGUUUGGAACAGACUGCACAUGUUACUACUGACAAAAAUGCUUGCUUUACCAAUUCGGCUUUCAGCUCUACGCCGAAAAAAGUAGGGCUACGCAGGCGUGCCCAAACCCCAUUAACGGAUGUUGUUCUACAAGAUCCUUGCAUGGAAGUGAAAUCAAUUUCAGAUAUAAUUAAUUGUCCAGUUGAAAAGACUGAUUCGACUAAAAUUGGUGGUGAAGCGCUUUCGCAAAAUCCCUACGAAGUUCAACGCAAACCACCCAAGAAGAAAAAACGUGAAUCGGAAAUAGUCGAAGCAUGCUUUGAAAAUCCAGCAUUGAAUUUAGAGCUGCCUGAAAAACAAUUUAAUCCAUAUGAAGUUUUACGCGAUGUGCCAGCAAAACAAACUAAUGUUGCUCAGGCUAAUUGUUUUGUAAAUGCAGCCUUAAAUCUACGGACACAGGAUGUAACUGCAACAAGAAACCCAUUUGAGAUCCAACGUUGUCAAAGCGUUGCAACAACUACUUCUUCUGUCGGCGUUGAAAACACUGGUGUUGAAGUUGGCCAAGUAGUUCCAACUGAUUUAAAAAUAUCGUUGCCGUUUAAGCCUACUCUUGGUUGUCGCAUAGAUUUCACCAAUAUACCUUUAGAAGAGCUAACGCCUAGCAAGCUGCUGGCGGAUAAACUAGUAUUUUCACCAGUCUUAAUGUUGCCGAAACGUUCAUUGGAUUCCGCAAGUGAGGAUAGUAGUAUGGAUAUAGGUAAAGAGUUAGAUCGCUAUCAGCUGGAACUGGAGAAUAGUAUCAAUGAGGCGAAAAUGCGCAAGGCUAUAGGCCCUUGUACAAAAUCGACUUUAAAUGUGAACGUGGAGCAAAAAAUUACAUUCAACCAAAGAUUGGCCGAAAUAGCCGAAGAAGAUGAAGAAAAUGAUUUCAAUGAAGAAGAUGUGGAAAAAACUAAUACUUUGCAUGAGUGUACAAUUCAAUCUCAUAUUGAAUUGACUGGUAAAAUACAAACUGAACAAGAUGAAAGAGAAUCGUGUAUGGUUGAAGAAUUAAAGAACGAAGAUGUUGUAUAUGCUUCUGACUCGGAUGAGGACGAAAUUGACUUCAAGGAGCCAGCACCAUUUGUGCGUGCAUACCAACGCGCUGCAACAACACAUGUCGUUGGUAGCAAAGAGUCUUUGCACUCCAACGGUUCAAACGACUCAACCGAUCAUAAGAAACCUCUAAAUGUACGUAAUUUAAUACGUAAAUCUUUAAGGAAACUAAUGCAUCCAACCAAGCAUGAUGAUUUAUUUAAGACUAAUUCUGAUGAAAAAGAAAUAUUGAACAUUGAAAUAGGUGAAAAGGAAAAGCAACAUGCCAGCGCAUAUAAAAUUAUACGAAAUAGUUUAAGACGCAAAACAACCGCCAAACCUUCAAAUCCUGCCCAGGAAACGCCGGCUGCAAAAGCGGAAAUAUCGAUAAUCGAUACCAGUGAACGCAGAAUGAAACUUACUGCAGUGAUUUCAACGAAUACAGAAGCUCUGCUUCAAGUACUUCAUACAUUUUAUCAACGCUUUCGCUUUAUACAUUAUAUAAAUCAUCAAUAACACUACAAAUUCUAAGUAUGGAUGGCUACAAUAGUUUUUUCUGCAAUAAUUGAAAUAGUUCCAAACGAAUUUAAAUGAACGCAUGAUGAAAACAAAGUAAAUUUAUCGAUUUUGUUAUCGACUAAUAUUUCUCUAUCCUAUGUGCAUAUUUGCCGGCUUUUUAAUGCAUGUUUAUUGAAGUUGAAGCAAAAUAAACUUGGGAAAAGUAUAAAUGCUGUAAUUCAAGGGCAAUGCCUGAGUUUAUGAUGCCCCUGUGCAUAUUUGCUGGCUUCUUUAUGUAUGUUCAGUGAUAAUUAAGAAAAAUUAACUGGAAAAUUAGGAUAAUUAGAAAUCAAGAGUUGAAGACAGCGCAUACAUUUAGACACAGUGGGUGCGUAAAAGUGUGAGAGAGAAAUAACUAUGCUAAUUAAGAAAGUGCGCAAAGCUUACGCAUAAUGUAUUUUUUGGAGCCGCUUUUUUACGAUUUUUGCAAACAAAUACACAGUGUUUUCCUGUGGCAAGGCUCAGUUUGAGAAUGAUCUUGUGUGUAUGCAGAAAGCGGAGCUUAAUGCGGUGAACACUUGUUUACAUGUAAAGACCAAAUAAUUAAUUGGAAAAGAUGAAAAAUGCUUAAAAAUAUCACAAUUGUGGAAAAUAAAUAGUAAGCCAUUGAUAACAGUAAUAAUUGUGAAGGAAAUUAACUAAAUUUCGUAUAAACAAUAACAAUAAAAGUUUGUAUUACACGAAAAGAGACUGCAGUGAAAAUAACGGGUAAAAAGCACAUCAUGUUUGUGCACGUUUGAACAUUUGUAGAAGUUUGAAGAAACUAAAAUGCAAUAACGAUGAGAAAUGUCAUAUUGUGCGCGAUUAAUAAUACAAAAAAGUAAAUCAGAAGUAGUGUGUUAAUUAAAAUAUAUUAGUGAAAAAGUAAAUAAUGUGUGUGCAAUAGUGAAAAUGUUAAAAAUAAAUAAAAUAUCCAAUAAAAAAUGUGUAAAAAGAAGAAAAAGGCAGCAAAUAAAAUAUAAAAGUAAAAAAGUGGGUGAAAAGUGAAGUGAAAAUGAAAAAAAAUGGGGAAAAUUUCAAUUUUCCCAAGAAAAAAGUAUUAGAAUUAUAAAAGAAAUAAGUGAAAAAUAAAGUAAAAAAAAGUAA